CGAACGAGUAACAACAUUCACCCACGCGUUGUCCAUUUAGCAGCAGUCUUCCCUGGCGGCCACACGUCAAGGGGAGCACGGAGGAGCAGCAACGCGGGUCUCCUACACUGCCAUUCCGCCUCCAAUACAGGUGUAAAAGUACAUAACCUACAAGCGGGCGGUAGGAAAGGCAGGGAACAAAUACCGGAAUAUUGUGAAGCGAUGGAGAGUGCGUUCAUUUUUUAAAACGAACCCCCUACCCCAGUGUUUCCAGAUACUAGUUUUUCCCACAAGGGGCUGUUUUAAAGGCCACAGGGAUGAUUACUCGGGUUGCUGUGGAUGGUUUGCCUGCUGGUGUCUCAGAAUCUUUGUUAAACCAGGAGUAGAAUCGCACAAACACCUUUUAAGAAUCUAGUACCAUCCACUUCUCUUUGUUGAAACUAGACGAGGACAAGACGCCGAUGUGUUUCAGAACGUGUCCUCUGCUUUCAAUUUCUGUAUAAUUUAGUGAGACAGCAUCGUAUCUUGCCAGUGAAACGGUGGCGUCGAAGGGAGCAUCUGCCAUCAAUUGUUCAAAUGAUACCAGGUGCUCCUCAUCUUUAUUCUAUACCAGCUGAACGGAAAGGCAGAGAAAACCAAGAGUAAGCCGCCCGUUGCCCUGCCAACACUCAAAGCGCCGUAAAGGACACCGAGGAGCAACUACAACACGUGAAUAAUAGAAGGAGACGAGCUGCGGGCGCCUCACUGCAGCCAUGUUUGCAAGACGACCUGAAAAGAAAGCCUUGAAGAAAAGAGGGAAGCUGAACUCGUGUAAGAAGGUGAAGGAAAAGAAGAGAAGAGGAGGAAGAACAACAAGAAAACGGAGGAAAAAAGGGAAAAAAGGAGAAAAAAGAAAAGGAUGUGGACAAAGAGAGGAGGAAAAAGAACCAUUCUUUUGUUUAUUUUCUGUCCUCCUUUGCCACAACAGAUGAAGUGACUGAUGGCGUCUCGAGGAAUAAUAAUAGACAAACAAUUACAUACACAUCUUGACGGAUUGAAAGAAAACGGAAAAAAAAGGCUCCCGUGACAAAGAAAAUGGCAGCAGGUCGGUCGUUUAAGCCAACAAAUGUAUGUAACUGUCGCUUGACCAGCUGCCCAGAACGACGCGAGGACAGUGUCUUAGGUGAGGCAAGACACUGACACUACUGAGAAACGGACGGGACACUACUGAAGGUGCAGAGAGAGAGAGAGAGAGAG
rnacentral:lncRNA from 1 species